UGUGAAUUUCCCAAUGAUCCUGGAAAAUGGAGCAGAUUAUGGGAUCCGAGUGAUGUGUAUCGUGCAUUUACAAUGAAAAAGGUAACCAUCAAACUUGUGAACUUAUUUAAGCUUCAUAAAAAUAUGUAAAUUUGAGCAAUAUCAUUUUUUUUCCAAGUUACAUAUCCAUACAAUUUUAGCUACCUUUAUCUCUUUUAUGCUUGCCUGAUCCUUUGCUAUUGUUGGUAGGGGAUGAAAAAAGUUGAGGCCAUAUUCUUGGACUUGUCUAGAUCAAAACAACUGCAAUUUAGUACAAAGAUUUUUGCAAAGAUGAAACGACUUAGAUUGCUCAAGAUUUAUUGGAGAGAUUGUUGUGGUUCUAUGAAAAAGGAGUUUAAAGUUAUUCUUCCUGAAGAUUUUCAAUUUCCUUCACAUGAGUUGAGAUAUCUUCAUUGGGAAGGAUACUCUUUGAAAUCAUUGCCUUCAAAUUUUCAUGGAGAGAACCUUGUUGAACUCAACAUGAUGGAUAGCAACAUAAAACAACUUUGGCAAGGAAAUAAGUGUUUGGAACAGUUAAAGAUCUUAAAUUUACUAAGAUCCAAGCAACUUACUGAAAUAUCAAACUUCUCAAAUAUGCCAAAUCUAGAGGAGUUAGAACUUGAGCGUUGUACAAGUUUGAAUGUUGUUGAUCCAUCUAUUGGAGUUCUAAAGAAGCUUACUUUGUUGAAUUUGAGUGGGUGUGAAAACCUUACGAGUUUACCAACCAGCAUUCAAUACUUGGACUCUCUUGAAACUAUUUACUUGAAUAAAUGCUCAAACUUGGAGGAAUUUCCGGAGAUGAAAAGAAGUUCUAUGAAAGCUUUAUCUUAUCUUCACUUUGAUGGAUCUGCUAUUAAGGAAUUACCCUCCUCAAUAGAACAUCUCACUGGACUUAAGGAGUUGUAUAUGAAAGUGUGCAAAAACUUGAGGAGUCUUCCAAGUAGCAUUUGCAGGUUAAAGUCCCUUAGAAACCUCCAAGUCUUUGGUUGUUCAAAUCUAGAUACUUUUCCAGAAAUCAUGGAGGAUAUGAAAUACUUAGAAUUUCUUUAUUUAAGAGGAACAGGUAUAAAAGAGCUACCAUCAUCAAUGGAACAUCUUCAUAAUAUUGGUGAAUUGUUUCUGAGUGACUGCAAAAACUUGAGGAGUCUUCCAAGCAGGCAUUUGUAGGUUUAAAUCUUUUCAACGGCUCAAUCUCAGUGGGUGCUCAAGCCUACAGAACUUUCCCGAAUUCAUGGAGGAUAUGGAAUACUUAGAUGUGCUUGAUUUGGAAGGAACAGCUAUAAAAGAACUACCAUCAUCAAUUCAAAAUCUGAAAAACUCAGAAUGUUGUAUUUGAGCAAUUGCAAGAACCUUGUUACUCUUCCAGAUAGCAUUUAUGAUCUGAGAUCCCUUGAAUAUCUGAUACUCCCUGGUUGUUCAAACUUGGAGAAGUUUCCCAAGAAUCUAGAAGCCUUAUGCUCCUUAGUGGAACUAGAUUUGAGUCACUGCAAUCUAAUGGAAGGGUCAAUUCCCACUGAUAUCUGGGGCCUAUAUUCCUUGGAAAAAUUAAAUCUACGUGGAAACCAUAUGGUUAGCAUACCUUCCGGCAUCUCUCAACUUUGUAAGCUUCGUUACCUUGAUAUCAGUCACUGCAAGAUGCUCCAAGAAAUUCCAGAGCUUCCAUCAAGUCUACCAGAAAUACAUGCCCACGAUACGAAGCUGGAAAUGUUAUCAGGUCCAUCAUCUCUACUCUGGUCUUCCCUCCUCAAAUGGUUCAAACCAACAAGUAAUGAGCACUUGAAUUGCAAGAAAGGCAAGAUGAUUAUCAUUCCAGGAAAUGGUGGAAUUCCAGGGUGGGUAUUGCAUCAGGACAUUGGAAGCCAAUUAAGAAUAGAGCUUCCUUUGAAUUGGUACGAGGACAACCACUUUCUGGGAUUUGCUUUCUUCUCUCUUUAUCAUAAAGAGAAUUUUGAGGCUUCAUGUCAUUUUGAUCUGAGAUUGCGCGGUGAUCCAGAUGAAGUUGUGGAUGACCUCUCUAUUUCUUCUUGGCGUAAAUGCCACGAGUUUAAUGGUGAUGCAUCCAAUGAAUUGUGGGUGACUCUCUAUCCUAAGAAUGCUAUUCCAAAUAAGUACCACCGCAAACAACCAUGGCACUUUCUGGCUGCGUUUGAUUUUGUUACUAGGAUUAAUGGUCAGGCUACUCAUACCAAUAUCAAGAGGUGCGGGGUUCAGCUGAUAUACACCCAUGAUUAUCUACACGAUAAUGUGCCUAUGUUGGUGGAUCAUCAAAGAUGCCAUGAUGAUGCCGGGGAAAACCAAGCAGAUGAUCAGGAACCACACCCUAAAAGAUUGAGAGCAUCCAGCACUGAUCUCAAGCUUUAAGCUCCAUUGCCAGGUGCACUUGCUAGCAAAGUCCUCUUUAUAUUCCACCAUCUCUCUAUUUUAGUUGUUCAUUCAAGCCCUCAUGGAAACUUAUUGGUAAGCCAUCUUCCUCCCCCUUCUUAAUUACUUUAA